UGUGUGUGUGUGUGUGUGUGUGUGUGUGUGUGUGUGUGUGUGUGUGUGUGUGUGUGUGUGUGUGUGCAAAAGAGGAAAGUGCCAAGAACAAAGCAAGGGGA